UGCGUAGGCGGCUAAAUAAGUCAGAAGUGAAAGCCUGCGGCUUAACCGUAGAAUUGCUUUUGAUACUGUAUAGCUUGAAUUAGGUUGAGGUUGGCGGAAUGUGACAUGUAGCGGUGAAAUGCAUAGAUAUGUCAUAGAACACCAAUUGCGAAGGCAGCUGACUAGACCUUAAUUGACGCUGAGGCACGAAAGCGUGGGGAGCGAACA
rnacentral:rRNA from 1 species